rnacentral:rRNA from 1 species
UACGGGGGGAGCAAGCGUUGUUCGGAUUUACUGGGCGUAAAGGGCGCGUAGGCGGUCAGCACAAGUCAGUUGUGAAAUCUCCGGGCUUAACUCGGAAAGGUCAACUGAUACUGUGCGACUAGAGUGCAGAAGGGGCAACUGGAAUUCCUGGUGUAGCGGUGAAAUGCGCAGAUAUCAGGAGGAACACCCGUGGCGAAAGCGGCUCUCUGGGACGGUACUGACGCUGAGACGCGAAAGCGUGGGGAGCGAACAGG